UAUUUUCCCCACUCUGAAGGCUGGCUAGCCACAAGUCAGGUGACUCCAGGGCGUCAUGACACAUCAGUUGAGAAUUUGUAAUGGAGCAACACCCCAGGGAACUACAGACCAAGGAAUCACAGCUGGCAAGUCCUUCUCACUUGGCAGUCUAGCAAUCAAUAAAGUCUGUUGAUCUGGAAAUGUCAGGAGGGCAACUGUAACAAGAGCCCGAGGCCACUGUGGCCAAUCGAUACACAGCCACAGUGAGGGAAGUACCUUUGAGAUAUAAAGCUGGCAGAUCAUAUCCUCCCCUGGCUUGAUUUCUUUCACCGACCGGGUAAUGAAUAUGCCUCUCCCUUGGCAGCCCGAGUCCGGCUUACAAAUGUCUAGAUGUAUGUGCCAUGCUGGGAACCAGGCCUGGAUCGUCUGCAAGAGCAGCCAUCGGUCUUAGCUGCUAACUCCUCUCUCAGUCCAUUUGAAUACGAUUCUGAGGUGACGCUUCCCUGUCACCACCCUUAACAUGCUCUCAUCGUACCCUCUGGUCA